AAAAACCAUGGUUGUCAUAUAAGUAGGACAUUUUUGUAUUUUUGCAAGUAAGCAAGAAAGCUUUUCUUCAUUCAAUUCAACAAGUGAAGUAAUAGGUACAAUUUGAAAGGAGAAAGAUGGAUGGUUCUUAACCCUAGCUAAGGGAAAGGGAGGAGUAGGGGUCCCCCACCACAACCACACCUUGAGGCAAUACAGCAGGAUAGGUCAGGUCACCCACAAUUGGGAAUUCCAAUGAAGAGUUUCAAACCCUGACAAAAGCUAUAACAUGGACAAGAUCCUUCCUGCAGGAUUAAUACACAGAUAAUGUCUCUGGACAAAGUUGGCAUGUGGGUUGUUUCUUAUUGGAAGAGGUGGAACUUACAAAAGGUAUUUUGAGUAGUGAUGAUAAUCAACUCGUUUCUUUCAGAAAGAAUUUUCUUACUGACAUGUCAAGAACAUGCUAAUUCAAAAUUUCUGUUACCAAGACUAGAUUUGGUUCUCUAUGGGAGUUUGUAUUUUGGUGCAGGCUUCUUCCG
rnacentral:lncRNA from 1 species